rnacentral:pre_miRNA from 1 species
GUGAGAUGAAAUCAACGUUUGGAUAAGCGAUUUUACGCUGAUUUCAUCUCAUGA